rnacentral:rRNA from 1 species
GUUGACCUCGGAUCAGGUAGGAAUACCCGCUGAACUUAAGCAUAUCAAUAAGCGGAGGAAAAGAAACCAACAGGGAUUGCCUUAGUAACGGCGAGUGAAGCGGCAAUAGCUCAAAUUUGAAAUCUGGCGCUUGCGUCCGAGUUGUAAUUUGUAGAGGAUGAUUUUGGUUAGGU